rnacentral:lncRNA from 1 species
AUGCACUGACAUGCUAAGCUCCCUAAAAUACAUUCAAUGGAAAUAACAUGUUUCAGAAAAAUACAUUAUCCCAGUUAUGGGUACAUAAAUUUUUAUAUACAAAGUCAUAGAAAAGGACCAGGAUGACUGCACACCAACUGUGGACAAAUGGUUAUGUCUAGGAAAAGAGAUUUGAAAUAAGAGAGUGACUGGGGGAGGACAAGGAGAAAGCCAGUCAUUUCACUUGGUUUAUUACCUAUUGCAUGAAUCUCAUAAAAUGAAAGUGAAUUUGUAUACCCCUUACGCAAACUGAAAAGAACAUGCUACUCUUUAAAAUGAAAUAAGUUUGAUAUUUUAUAUUUCUCUACUGUACUACAUUUUUCUCACUCUAAAUGGACUACUCUUACUUUUUUUAAAGCAAAGUAACAGAAAUGAGAGUUCUUUUCUCUACCACUCUCUCCAUUCUUCGUCAGUCCAAACUUAUGCAUUAUCUAAUUUUUCAGUGUGGCUAGAAGAUAUGUCAAGAGAGAGACAACGAGAGGGCAGAGAGAGACAGGAACCCACAGCAAGCUACAGGAGGCCCUCCAGUGUACCUUCUAAGAUCAGCUAAGGUCUUUGUUUUUUUUUUUCCUCUUAGCCUCCUGAAAGUUCUUUUAUUGACUUCAUAAAAAUAUAGCUUCAAUUUAUUCAACUGUCAACACAUUGACAGCCAAAUAUUCAUAAUAAUAUGUUUUACAUUAAUUUAGUUAGUCUUGGAUCAAUGUAAAUAAACUGGCCUAUUAUUUGCUCAGUGAAAGGCUUCUGGUCUCUGAAUUGGGCAGAACUGCUUUCCUAGCUGGGGCUUCUCUGGUGGCUGAGAUGGUAAAGAAUCUGGCUGCAAUGUGGAAGACCCAGGUUUGAUCCCUGGAUUGGGAAGAUGCCCUGAGAAGGGAAAUGGCUACCCACUCCAGUAUAAAAUCUAAAUCUUGGUUGGUUGGUUGUUUUUUUCUGGCUCGAUCAAGUCCUCAAAAACCUUCAUAUUAUCUUAGGUACCACCCAUGCUUUUGUAUUCCCCUGGGUUUCCACAGUAUUCCUUCCUUAAAAAUCACACAGCUAAUGGUACUCAGUCUGAGACAGGAGUCAGGCCCUUUUCAAGUUUAGUAAAGCUAACCAGGAUUGGAAUUUACAUAGUGCUGACACACUGACGUGUUUGCCAGGCAGUGAGUAUACUGCUCCAUUUUAUUCUCAAAGCCGACUUAUCCUGAUAACUUAAACCUCCUACAGAGUCUGUUGACUCUCUUGAAAACCUUAACAUAAUGCAAAAUUUGCUUCAGAUUUCCUGGAAGAAAUAAAACAUUUCAGAUACAAUUAAAGCCACCAUAUGCUCCUGCCUACCCCAUUUCCUUC